AAAUUGAAGAGUUUGAUCAUGGCUCAGAUUGAACGCUGGCGGCAGGCCUAACACAUGCAAGUCGAACGGUAACAGGAAGCAGCUUGCUGCUUCGCUGACGAGUGGCGGACGGGUGAGUAAUGUCUGGGAAACUGCCUGAUGGAGGGGGAUAACUACUGGAAACGGUGGCUAAUACCGCAUAACGUCGCAAGACCAAAGAGGGGGACCUUCGGGCCUCUUGCCAUCAGAUGUGCCCAGAUGGGAUUAGCUUGUUGGUGAGGUAACGGCUCACCAAGGCGACGAUCCCUAGCUGGUCUGAGAGGAUGACCAGCCACACUGGAACUGAGACACGGUCCAGACUCCUACGGGAGGCAGCAGUGGGGAAUAUUGCACAAUGGGCGCAAGCCUGAUGCAGCCAUGCCGCGUGUAUGAAGAAGGCCUUCGGGUUGUAAAGUACUUUCAGCGGGGAGGAAGGUGUUGUGGUUAAUAACCACAGCAAUUGACGUUACCCGCAGAAGAAGCACCGGCUAACUCCGUGCCAGCAGCCGCGGUAAUACGGAGGGUGCAAGCGUUAAUCGGAAUUACUGGGCGUAAAGCGCACGCAGGCGGUCUGUCAAGUCGGAUGUGAAAUCCCCGGGCUCAACCUGGGAACUGCAUUCGAAACUGGCAGGCUUGAGUCUUGUAGAGGGGGGUAGAAUUCCAGGUGUAGCGGUGAAAUGCGUAGAGAUCUGGAGGAAUACCGGUGGCGAAGGCGGCCCCCUGGACAAAGACUGACGCUCAGGUGCGAAAGCGUGGGGAGCAAACAGGAUUAGAUACCCUGGUAGUCCACGCCGUAAACGAUGUCUACUUGGAGGUUGUGCCCUUGAGGCGUGGCUUCCGGAGCUAACGCGUUAAGUAGACCGCCUGGGGAGUACGGCCGCAAGGUUAAAACUCAAAUGAAUUGACGGGGGCCCGCACAAGCGGUGGAGCAUGUGGUUUAAUUCGAUGCAACGCGAAGAACCUUACCUGGUCUUGACAUCCACAGAAUUUUUCAGAGAUGCGGAUGUGCCUUCGGGAACUGUGAGACAGGUGCUGCAUGGCUGUCGUCAGCUCGUGUUGUGAAAUGUUGGGUUAAGUCCCGCAACGAGCGCAACCCUUAUCCUUUGUUGCCAGCGAUUAGGUCGGGAACUCAAAGGAGACUGCCAGUGAUAAACUGGAGGAAGGUGGGGAUGACGUCAAGUCAUCAUGGCCCUUACGACCAGGGCUACACACGUGCUACAAUGGCGCAUACAAAGAGAAGCGACCUCGCGAGAGCAAGCGGACCUCAUAAAGUGCGUCGUAGUCCGGAUUGGAGUCUGCAACUCGACUCCAUGAAGUCGGAAUCGCUAGUAAUCGUGGAUCAGAAUGCCACGGUGAAUACGUUCCCGGGCCUUGUACACACCGCCCGUCACACCAUGGGAGUGGGUUGCAAAAGAAGUAGGUAGCUUAACCUUCGGGAGGGCGCUUACCACUUUGUGAUUCAUGACUGGGGUGAAGUCGUAACAAGGUAACCGUAGGGGAACCUGCGGUUGGAUCACCUCCUUACCUCUUUGUGAUUCAUGACUGGGGUGAAGUCGUAACAAGGUAACCGUAGGGGAACCUGCGGUUGGAUCACCUCCUUACCUUAAAGAA
rnacentral:rRNA from 1 species